rnacentral:tRNA from 1 species
GGAGAGAUGGCCGAGUCCGGUUGAAGGCGCACGACUCGAAACCGUGUGACGGGUAACUGUCCGUGGGUUCGAAUCCCACUCUCUCCGCCA